rnacentral:rRNA from 1 species
CCUACGGGUGGCAGCAGUGAGGAAUAUUGGUCAAUGGACGAGCGUCUGAACCAGCCAAGUAGCGUGAAGGAUGACUGCCCUAUGGGUUGUAAACUUCUUUUAUAUGGGAAUAAAACGUUCCACGUGUGGGAUUUUGUAUGUACCAUAUGAAUAAGGAUCGGCUAACUCCGUGCCAGCAGCCGCGGUAAUACGGAAGAUCCGAGCGUUAUCCUGAUUUAUUGGGUUUAAAGGGAGCGUAGGUGGGUUGUUAAGUCAGUUGUGAAAGUUUGCGGCUCAACCGUAAAAUUGCAGUUGAAACUGGCAGUCUUGAGUACAGUAGAGGUAGGCGGAAUUCGUGGUGUAGCGGUGAAAUGCUUAGAUAUCACGAAGAACUCCGAUUGCGAAGGCAGUUCACUGGACUGCAACUGACACUGAGGCUCGAAAGUGUGGGUAUCAAACAGGAUUAGAUACCCUUGUAGUC